UAUGUAUGUAUGUAUGCAUGUAUGCAUGCAUGUAUAUGUAUGUAUGCACUAUCCAAACAAAGCAUAAAAAAAAUUUAAUUUAAAUAUACAGCAUAUUUUGCACAAAAAUUGAAAUAAUGGAAACAGACGUCAAAAGUAAAUUUAAUGAACCACCUCCUUACUCCGAAGUCAUUCAAGUUCAAGUGCAGCAACCAGUAGUUGGAAAUCCUUAUCUAGCAACAAACACUUUUAUUCAACAACCUGCGACAUAUAUUGUAAAAGAGCUUCCAAAUAACUAUGGUGCUGCUGCAUGGUUAUCUUGUAUAUUCUGCUUCUGGCCUUUUGGAAUUAUGUCGAUUAUUAAAUCUAAAGAGGUCGAUACAGCUAUUUCACAAGGCGACAUAAACAGAGCUCAUAUUGCAUCGCAUACUGCAAAGAAUUAUGCAAUUGCAUCUGUGGUUUGUGGAAUAUUUUUAGCUGCAAUGCUUACUUUGAAAUUUACUAGGAUAUUGUUUUGAAUAAUUUUUAUAGUAAUUUUGAAAGUUAAAGAGACAAAUUUUAACUAAGCUAUUCAACCAAAAUUUUUUUUUUUUUAACUUUUAUUAAAUUUAGCAUUUACUUUUAUUUGAUAAGAUAUUCAUUAGAAUUUAAGAAUAAAAAAACUAAUGCAUUCUAUGGCCUAUUUUGUAACUUUUCUGUUUAAACUAAUAAUUCAAGUUUUUAAAAGUUUAUUGUUAAAAAAAAAAAGUUUCUUUGUUAAAGCGUUUUUGUCGAAAAAUAUAUGGAACAUAAUAA